rnacentral:rRNA from 1 species
CGAAGGGGUACCUGCGGAAGAUCAUUAACGAGUCUUGAAAUGGGUUGUAGCUUGGCCUCAACCAGGCAUGUGCUCGCCCUGCUCAAAUCCACUCUACACCUGUGCACUUACUGUGGGUUUGGUAUUUGGGGGGCCUGGUUUUACUUCGGUCUCUUGAGCCAAGCUCACGUUUUAUUACAAACAACCGUAGUAUCAGAAUGUAUACCGUGAUGUAACACAUCUAUAUACAACUUUCAGCAACGGAUCUCUUGGCUCUCGCAUCGAUGAAGAACGCAGCAAAAUGCGAUAAGUAAUGUGAAUUGCAGAAUUCAGUGAAUCAUCGAAUCUUUGAACGCACCUUGCGCUCCUUGGUAUUCCGAGGAGCACACCUGUUUGAGUGUCGUGAAAUUCUCAACCUAACUGCCUUUGUCGGUUUUGUUAGGCUUGGAUAAUGGAGGCUUGCCGGCUACGUGAUGUGUCGGCUCCUCUCAAAUGCAUUAGCUUGGUUCCUUGUGGAUCAGCUCUCGGUGUGAUAAUUGUCUAUACCGUGACUGUGAAACAUUUGGCAAGCUUCUAACUGUCUCUUAAAGGAGACACUUCAUAUUUGACAUCUGACCUCAAAUCAGGUGGGACUACCCGCUGAACUUAA